rnacentral:rRNA from 1 species
AGCGAACGCUGGCGGCAGGCCUAACACAUGCAAGUCGAACGAACCUUUCGGGGUUAGUGGCGGACGGGUUAUUAACACGUGGGAACGUGCCUUUAGGUUCGGAAUAACUCAGUGAAACUUGUGCUAAUACCGAAUGUGCCCUUCGGGGGAAAGAUUUAUCGCCUUUAGAGCGGCCCGCGUCUGAUUAGCUAGUUGGUUGAGGUAAUGGCUCACCAAGGCGACGAUCAGUAGCUGGUCUGAGAGGAUGAUCAGCCACAUUGGGACUGAGACACGGCCCAAACUCCUACGGGAGGCAGCAGUGGGGAAUCUUGCGCAAUGGGCGAAAGCCUGACGCAGCCAUGCCGCGUGAAUGAUGAAGGUCUUAGGAUUGUAAAAUUCUUUCACCGGGGACGAUAAUGACGGUACCCGGAGAAGAAGCCCCGGCUAACUUCGUG